AUUGAAGGCUUUCUCACCGUCUGAUCCAGCUCAUAUUUGGAGACCUUAAAGAUGGAAGUAUCAGCUUUCCAGCACACUUUACAGCUUGACAAUCCAACGGUUCAAUCAAAAGAUACGCGAAGAGCAAGAUGUCCCGUAAACCAGCCGGCGAGCGUUUCCACCCGCGGCCAACAGACCAAUCCCCGCGGUCACAACCGCCGCGACCGCGGCCAGCCACCCAU
rnacentral:lncRNA from 1 species